AUCGACCUCGGAUCAGGUAGGGAUACCCGCUGAACUUAAGCAUAUCAAUAAGCGGAGGA
rnacentral:rRNA from 1 species